UCUUGGUCAUUUAGAGGAAGUAAAAGUCGUAACAAGGUCUCCGUUGGUGAACCAGCGGAGGGAUCAUUGCUGGAACGCGCCCCAGGCGCACCCAGAAACCCUUUGUGAACUUAUACCUUACUGUUGCCUCGGCGCAUGCUGGCCCCCUCGGGGUCCCUUGGAGACAAGGAGCAGGCACGCCGGCGGCCAAGUUAACUCUUGUUUUUACACUGAAACUCUGAGAAAAAACACAAAUGAAUCAAAACUUUCAACAACGGAUCUCUUGGUUCUGGCAUCGAUGAAGAACGCAGCGAAAUGCGAUAAGUAAUGUGAAUUGCAGAAUUCAGUGAAUCAUCGAAUCUUUGAACGCACAUUGCGCCCUCUGGUAUUCCGGAGGGCAUGCCUGUUCGAGCGUCAUUUCAACCCUCAAGCAUUGCUUGGUGUUGGGGCACUGCCUGUAAAAGGGCAGGCCCUGAAAUCUAGUGGCGAGCUCGCCAGGACCCCGAGCGCAGUAGUUAAACCCUCGCUUUGGAAGGCCCUGGCGGUGCCCUGCCGUUAAACCCCCAACUUUUGAAAAUUUGACCUCGGAUCAGGUAGGAAUACCCGCUGAACUUAAGCAUAUCAAUA
rnacentral:rRNA from 1 species